GAAAAGGACAAAGAAAUUAGUCAGCUACAAACUCUGGUUGCUCACUUGGAAGCUACCAUAAAAGAUUCUGAGAUCACCAUUGCCACUAUAAAACAGCAAAUAGAACAGGAAAACUGCAGUGAAUCCAAGGAGAAAAGCAUUGGCUCAAGAAGGAAACGGUAUUUAGAAAGGGAUGAAGAAGGCCCCCCUUCAAAGCAAGGAUUCAUUCACAACAGUUCUAAAGAUGCCAUAGUCUCAGAGAAAGCUGAUGAAACACAACCCCAUCCUUUGAAGGAAAAGGGAGACA
rnacentral:lncRNA from 1 species